AGAGUUUGAUCCUGGCUCAGAACGAACGCUGGCGGCGCGUCUUAAGCAUGCAAGUCGAACGGCAAGAGAGAAGCUUGCUUCUCUCCUAGAGUGGCGGACUGGUGAGGAACACGUGGGUAAUCUACCCUUAAGAUGGGGAUAGCUGCUAGAAAUAGCAGGUAAUACCGAAUACACUCGGCGCUUCAUAAGAGGUGUUGAGGAAAGGAAGCUAUGGCUUCGCUUGAGGAUGAGCUUGCGUCCCAUUAGCUAGUUGGUGAGGUAAAGGCCCACCAAGGCGACGAUGGGUAUCCGGCCUGAGAGGGUGAUCGGACACAUUGGGACUGAGAUACGGCCCAAACUCCUACGGGAGGCAGCAGCUAAGAAUAUUCCGCAAUGGACGGAAGUCUGACGGAGCGACGCCGCGUGGAUGAAGAAGGCUGAAAAGUUGUAAAAUCCUUUUGUUGAUGAAGAAUAAGGGUGAGAGGGAAUGCUCAUCUGAUGACGGUAAUCGACGAAUAAGCCCCGGCUAAUUACGUGCCAGCAGCCGCGGUAACACGUAAGGGGCGAGCGUUGUUCGGAAUUAUUGGGCGUAAAGGGCAUGUAGGCGGUUGUGUAAGCCUGGUGUGAAAUCCUGGGGCUUAACCCCAGAAUAGCAUUGGGUACUGCACGACUUGAAUUACGGAAGGGAAACUGGAAUUCCAAGUGUAGGGGUGGAAUCUGUAGAUAUUUGGAAGAACACCGGUGGCGAAGGCGGGUUUCUGGCCGAUAAUUGACGCUGAGAUGCGAAAGUGUGGGGAUCGAACAGGAUUAGAUACCCUGGUAGUCCACACCGUAAACGAUGUACACUAGGUGUUGGGGCAAGAGCUUCAGUGCCAAAGCAAACGCGAUAAGUGUACCGCCUGGGGAGUAUGCCCGCAAGGGUGAAACUCAAAGGAAUUGACGGGGGCCCGCACAAGCGGUGGAGCAUGUGGUUUAAUUCGAUGGUACGCGAGGAACCUUACCUGGGUUUGACAUCUAGUAGACAGUCUUAGAGA
rnacentral:rRNA from 1 species